AAUUCCUUGUCGGGUAAGUUCCGACCUGCACGAAUGGUGUAACGAUCUGGGCGCUGUCUCAGCCAUGAGCUCGGUGAAAUUGUGGUAUCGGUGAAGACGCCGGUUACCCGCAACGGGACGGAAAGACCCCGUGCACCUUCACUACAACUUAACAUUGACUUUGGGUAAAGGAUGUGUAGGAUAGGUGGGAGGCUAUGAUCUGGCGGCGCCAGCUGUCAGGGAGCCAACGUUGAAAUACCACCCUUUCUUUAUCUGGAGUCUAAUCCAUAAAAGUGGAGACAUUGUUUGGUGGGUAGUUUGACUGGGGUGGUCGCCUCCAAAAGAGUAACGGAGGCUUCUAAAGGUACCCUCAGCACGCUUGGUAACCGUGCGUAGAGUGUAAUGGCAUAAGGGUGCUUGACUGUGAGACCGACAAGUCGAUCAGGUACGAAAGUAGGAUAUAGUGAUCCGGUGGUUCCGCAUGGAAGGGCCAUCGCUCAA
rnacentral:rRNA from 1 species